rnacentral:rRNA from 1 species
CCUACGGGUGGCAGCAGUGGGGAAUAUUGGGCAAUGGGCGCAAGCCUGACCCAGCAACGCCGCGUGAAGGAAGAAGGCCUUCGGGUUGUAAACUUCUUUUCUCAGGGACGAAGAAAGUGACGGUACCUGAGGAAUAAGCCUCGGCUAACUACGUGCCAGCAGCCGCGGUACUACGUAGGAGGCGAGCGUUAUCCGGAUUUAUUGGGUGUAAAGGGCGUGUAGGCGGGUGCGCAAGUCAGAUGUGAAAACUCAGGGCUCAACCUUGGACCUGCAUUUGAAACUGUUAGACUUGAGUGCUGGAGAGGCAAGCGGAAUUCCGAGUGUAGCGGUGAAAUGCGUAGAUAUUCGGAGGAACACCAGUGGCGAAGGCGGAUUGCUGGACAGUAACUGACGCUGAGGCACGAAAGCGUGGGGAGCAAACAGGAUUAGAUACCCCGGUAGUC